rnacentral:rRNA from 1 species
AACGAACGCUGGCGGCAGGCUUAACACAUGCAAGUCGAGCGCCCCGCAAGGGGAGCGGCAGACGGGUGAGUAACGCGUGGGAAUCUACCCAUCUCUACGGAAUAACGCAUGGAAACGUGUGCUAAUACCGUAUACGUCCUUCGGGAGAAAGAUUUAUCGGAGAUGGAUGAGCCCGCGUUGGAUUAGCUAGUUGGUGGGGUAAAGGCCUACCAAGGCGACGAUCCAUAGCUGGUCUGAGAGGAUGAUCAGCCACACUGGGACUGAGACACUGCCCAGACUCCUACGGGAGGCAGCAGUGGGGAAUAUUGGACAAUGGGCGCAAGCCUGAUCCAGCCAUGCCGCGUGAGUGAUGAAGGCCCUAGGGUUAUAAAGCUCUUUCACCGGUGAAGAUAAUGACGGAACCGGAGAAGAAGCCCCGGCUAACUUCGUGCCAGCAGCCGCCGUAACAC